rnacentral:rRNA from 1 species
GACGAACGCUGGCGGCGUGCUUAACACAUGCAAGUCGAGCGGUAAGGCCCUUUCGGGGGUACACGAGCGGCGAACGGGUGAGUAACACGUGGGUGACCUGCCCUCAGCUCUGGGAUAAGCCUGGGAAACUGGGUCUAAUACUGGAUAUGACUCCACGGUGCAUGUCGUGGGGUGGAAAGCCUUGUGCGGCUGAGGAUGGGCCCGCGGCCUAUCAGCUUGUUGGUGGGGUGANGGCCUACCAAGGCGACGACGGGUAGCCGGCCUGAGAGGGCGACCGGCCACACUGGGACUGAGACACGGCCCAGACUCCUACGGGAGGGCAGCAGUGGGGAAUCUUGCGCAAUGGGCGAAAGCCUGACGCAGCGACGCCGCGUGAGGGAUGACGGCCUCGGUU